GAUGAACGCUGGCGGCGUGCUUAACACAUGCAAGUCGAACGAAGCAUUUAAGACAGAUUACUUCGGUUUGAAGUCUUUUAUGACUGAGUGGCGGACGGGUGAGUAACGCGUGGGUAACCUGCCUCAUACAGGGGGAUAGCAGCUGGAAACGGCUGGUAAUACCGCAUAGGCGCACAGUACCACAUGGUACAGUGUGAAAAACUCCGGUGGUAUGAGAUGGACCCGCGUCUGAUUAGCUUGUUGGCGGGGUAACGGCCCACCAAGGCGACGAUCAGUAGCCGACCUGAGAGGGUGACCGGCCACAUUGGGACUGAGACACGGCCCAGACUCCUACGGGAGGCAGCAGUGGGGAAUAUUGCACAAUGGAGGAAACUCUGAUGCAGCGACGCCGCGUGAGUGAAGAAGUAGUUCGCUAUGUAAAGCUCUAUCAGCAGGGAAGAUAGUGACGGUACCUGACGAAGAAGCUCCGGCUAAAUACGUG
rnacentral:rRNA from 1 species